rnacentral:lncRNA from 1 species
CUAUUCCUCUACUGCCUAAUAAAACCAAGGCUGGAUGUCUCCACUUGGAUUUCUCACUCUGAAUGAUACUGCCAAGCUCUCCAGAGCGAAUUCCCUUUUAAAUUUGGUGGCCAUGGAGCCAAGAUUCCCUCUUAUUAGAACCACCUGAGAACUUGCUAGAACUUCUCAGGCCCCAUUAGGGGUAGGGGUAGGGGUAGGGGUAGGCCCACUGCAACAGAAACUCUGGGGGUGGGCCUAGCAAUCUGGGUUUUAACCAGUCCACCAAGGGAUUCUAAUGCAUGCUCAAGAUUGAGAAUCACUGCUCUAAAGCAUUCCCAAUUUCUUUUUCUUUUUCAUGUAAUCUCAGUAAAUGAUCCCAGAAACACCAAAAAUUCUGGUAUCUAAUCUGCAUUAAGGAUGCCCCUUAGGCCUAGAAAAACCAGCUCAGCCCCUUGCAUAAAAACACCUCUCAUAUUUCCCUCUCAGUCCCUUCAUCAUUUUCAUGUGAAUGUCUUGUCUCCCCAGCCACACUGGUAGCCCACAGACAUACUUCCAUCCCCCUGGUCACUUAGCACAACGCUUCUGGAAUGGGAGUUGCUCAAUAUUUGUCCCAGAUGAGAAAGUUUGAGACACAUUUGCACCCUCAGUAAGGAUCAACCGUCUGGUGCCUCCACACAUAAAACUGCUCUGAAAUAUUCUAGAUUUAUAUGCUAGGAAGCAUAGCUCUGAGCACAUUUGAAAACACUCUUCUGUCUGGAGGUGGCUGAUGAGAAAGGGGCCACGUUUCUGCUUAUUGUUCCAGAAGUGUGUCUUUAGAAAACACACAAGGGAGUUCCUGUUGUGGCGCAGGGAAAUGAAUCCUACCAGGAACCAUGAGAUUUCGGCUUUGAUCCCUGGCCUUGCUCAGUGGUUGGAUUCAUUAACCACUGAGCCACGACAGGAACUCCUCACAAUAUGGUUUUUUGUUUGUUUUUUUCUUGAGAAAAAUGAAACUCAGGGAUGUCUUAUGCCUUAUUUAAGGACAAUUAAUCAACGGACAAGAGGAUUCCAAUCCAGUUCCAUUUGAUUUCAAAGUUCAUGCUGUAUCUGUACCUCAGUAGCCCCCAAAGCUCAGAG